UAAUUGCUGUUACAUUGACUUUUGUAUUCGGGCGUUUGCCAUUAUUACGCGUAUUUAUACAGCAGGUACGCCCGUUGCACUUUUAUGCACGUUGCAGGCACGGUUUUAAAAGAAAAUCACGUGCAAAAGCGGCGCGCCCGCUCGCUCGUAUUUCACAGGAAAAUGAGAAUUAAUGGAAAAAAUUUGAGUUAAAUUUCGAGUGACGAGAAACAAAAAAAAACAACCGUGUAUACAGGUAUAGGGGAAGACGGGGCUGAACGGGGUCCCUACGAAUCCAUGACAAAAAAAAAAAAAAAGUAAAAAAUUUCAAAUUCGGAACGGUGUUUGCAUCCACUUUCGAUCAUUUCAAAACAAUAGAUUGAGAAAAUUUUUUCAACAUUUGCACCAACAAAGAGAAUUAGAAAAAUAUUUCAAGAUACAAGAUUCAAAUACAGCAUAGGACUCGAACCGGGUAUGCGAUAGUUCGUUCGUUUAUCUAUUUAUUUAUUUAUCUAUCGCGUUUAAUUUUCGCGACAUCGAAAUAUGUACGCGACGGAAUGUAAAAGCAAAUUGAAAAUUACGAACGGCGUGGAUUGAUAUCGAAAGUAUUUCAAUGAACAAUAAACGUGCAUUCCAUAAGCCGAUUUCCGAUUAUGAGAGGGGGUCAGACUCUCCUGGGAUGAAUAAAAACCGAUAAAAUAAUAUUCUUAUCAAAGGUUCGGCUCCAUGCGCGGUUUACGUCGGACACAGUUCCCGCAACAGCAGUCACGUCGUACGCCAUCGUCAUCGAUCGGCGGCUGCCCCGGUCCGAUCCUUCAGCUGGAUACAUAUCAUGUCGAGUUAGAAAGUUUCUAUGUGGCAUGCAGCGCCUUAUUAUUCGCCACUUUCCUGUAAUUCGACAAUUCAAACAAUCUGAUACCUCGAUGGAAUAAAUAAUUUUGAUAAAAUGUGCAAAGUGUUGGUACAUUUGGAUGGUGGAAAUAGAGGAAAACAAAUUUUGGACGAGUUAUGUUACGUGUCGUUUGCGUUAUCGCUGCAAUCAAAACCUGCAGUCUGGUACUGCAGCCCGCCCUCGAUGUUAUCUUAACAUAAACAUUAGCUGCAAAUGUACCUAGAACGGAUAUGUAUAUUAAGAAUCAUCCAAUUUCGAAGUAACUGGAUAAUGAAGAUAAUGGUUGUCGACGGCUGUACGGUAUUUGCAGAGCUGGCAUUUGAGCGUACAAUCAAUGCAUGUUAUCUGCUCGAAUAAACGGAUUAACAGAGCCAGUACCAUUGGCUGGAAUGACUCGUUUUAACGACGUGAAAGAACAGUUGGAUCUGAAUAAGGUCAAUGCACGGACAUAUUACCUUCUUUGGCACCCACACCGUAAAGGGAACGUCGUCGACGACGUAGAGCGAGUGGAUACCAGCAGCGGCAGCAGGAAGAGGAAUGAUUAAUUUAAUAACGAUUGGAAAUUGAAUUGUCGGAUGAUCUUCGUUGUACGCGGUAACCACAAUUUAGUUUAUCCUACAGAUCCAUUAUGUUCGGAAAAUAGCUGUUGCUGCGGACAUUGCAUGCGAUAUUCAAUAGAAGUCGACUUACCAAGAAUCGCCUGGAGGGUCUGCUCGUCCCCGAUGACGUCCAUGCCUCCUGCGAUCGGGCCCCAGCUCGCGUUCCGUGUUCACCAGGCCCCAUUUUGCCUCGUCGCGACGUCAACUGCGUCCCACA